AAUGCAUCAGGACGAUGCGGGCUUUAGGAUAAAGCAGAACGGACACAUAAGGAAGCUUCAGGACAGCCGUCAGGAUGAUGGCGGGACAGUUUAAGGAAGAAACCCGGGACACCUCCAGGACGGAGAACGAAUACUUACCGGAGCGUAAGGGGUCAGGACGACAAGCUAAGGAAGCGCAUCAGGAUGAUGCAAAGGCCGCUCGGGAUUGAGCAGCCGUUCGAAGGAGUGUCGGUCAGGAAGGCCACAGGGAAAAGUUUUCAAGGACUGAACAGGGAAGUACGCGGGUAGCCGGAUUGCUAUAAAACGAAUCAGG
rnacentral:other from 1 species